CUAGUCUCGAACUCCUGACCUCGUGAUCCGCCCACCUCAGCCUCCUAAAAUGCUGGGAUUAUAGACAUGAUCCACCAAGCCCAGCCCAGGUAAGGGUUUUAAAAGAAGACUUUGUGUGACCCCGGAUACCUGCAACUGGGACCCAACACUGCCGCAAGCUCUCUCUUUUCUCACGCUCCAACUUCCUCCGAAUACUGAUCUAAAUCUCUUUGCUAAGCUUCCUCUCCAUGGCAGGUAAUGUGGACGAUGGCAGCUUUUGCUCACUGUGCCUCAUGACUUCCGCCAGAGAGGGACAGAGAGGCCUUCAUAGCUUUCACCGGGGCCAGGUGACUGUCAUUAGCUCUUGUUACCCAUUCAUCUGAACUGAUGGCUGCUCACAUCUGGGCUCUGAUUUGUGCUGGGGAGGGAGAACUUUCCAGAGGAAGGGGUCCGUGUCCUGGGAGACAUACAAUGGAGCCCACCACCCUGGUGCUGAGAGCUAGUCCCAAGUCCUAGGGUGCAGUGGGCCCUCCCCCGUAGCCUCUGCUUCCCCUGCCUGGCAGGGAGGGGCAUAGGCUGGGGGAGGAGUGGUAUCUGUCCAGAGAGCCCGUUGCUUUCUGGCUUGAAAAUCCGUAGGAAAAUGGGGAUUUUUCUCAGCUCCUUUUAUUUGGAGUCGGGGCAGCAGCUGUGUGAUUUUCUGAGCGGAAUGCCUUGGAGGAUCCAAGCGAAGGAGUGAAGGAACAACAAAAGAAUCAUUCUCAGAAGCAUGGCAAAAACGAGACCAAAUAAAAACCCCAUAAAAAUCCCUGUGGGGCAGAGGAAAUACCAAGCCAGUGCUUUUGUGCUGCAGAUUCUGUAAUAAAGCAAAGAUUCACAGUUAGGCUGUGCAACUUGCUUAUGUUUGGACUGGAGGGAGAAUGUGCAGGAAAAGGAUAUAAAGAGUCUUCCAGGAAAGGGAGGCAUCACUGUGUGCAUUUGUGUGGUGUGUUGCUGCAGUUCGGGAGCCGACUAAGGACCGGGGUUCAUGGGGAGCCUGAAAGAGACGCUGGACAGGAACUGGGUCAAAGUUGGUGCACAGCUGCCAAGAUCAGAUGACUGUCAGCUGGGCCUGCCCCCUGCUGCCGCUGCUCGAUUGCAGGAGGAACUCUGACCUCGAUUUAGUCACCAAAACACCGGUCUGGAAAGCUCUUUUGAAGAUUGAUUAAAGAAACACUCACAGCACAGAUAAUCAUAAUUGAGUGACGUAGCUGAAUUAUCUGCUGUGAGUGGAAGAAUGCGCUGAUGAGAAAUCUCACAGGCAUGUUCCCUCUCCGUUCCUCUAAUUUGGCUUCCUUACUUAGGGGUGCAGUUUUGGGCCCUGGGAGUGUUUUGAGUUGAGGGGAUGGCAUGGAGGAUGUGGAAACUUUCACUCUCAUUUGGCAGGGUGACACGACCCUGGGCACAGAACACCACCUGUCACCGCACUGCAGCUGGUGUGGCCUGUGGCAGGUAGCGCUGUCCACGAAGCUGACCUGAGACGCUGCCUGUAGGGGCUUUCACUUCUGCUUUGUGGCUGUGGGCUGCCGUGAGCCCACUUUGGGGGAGGGCUCACGGCAGGCAUCGGGGAAGGCCUGGAUUUCAUCUGGGAGUGCCUCGCCUCUCUGCACGAUGGUUCUGCUCUGGGCAACAGCUGGUAUGAGCCACUGCACCCGGCCAAAGAGGUGAUUAAGUUAGAAUGAGGUCACAAGGAUGGGCCCUAAUCCAAUAUGACUGGUGUCCUUCUAAGAAGAGGAGACGAGGACACAGACACACAUAGAGGGAAGCCUAUCUGGGGACAUAGGUGAAGAUGGCCAUUUGCAAGCCAAAGAGAGGCCUCAGAAGAAUCCAACCCUGCUGGCACCUACACCUCAGACUUCCAGCCUCCAGACCGUGAAGAAAUAAAGUUCUGUUGUGGAAGCCAGUCUGUGGUCCUAUGUUAUGGCAGCCCAAGGAGCCCAGUACAGCCUCUCAACACGUUCGCUGCGCACACAGUCAUCUGCAGGUUAUCUAGACCAUCUACAGACAGAAGGAAAGACGUACAGGAAAAGGAACAGGAACGAGCUCAUUUUUUCUUCAUUUUCUCCUCCCAAACCGCCCCUACUCAGCCUCUCCUUACCUCUACCCCCAGCAGAAAGCAGAAACUUAAGGGGAAAUGAAACAGGGGCAGCAAUGCCGCCCUACAGAAGCUCUGGAAUAGAAUGGACAUCUUUCAGUAUAGAAUCAGAAGCAUCAUUUUCUUCUGGCUGUCCCCACCUCUCUAAGUUUGUUUUUAACUCAUGUGUAUGGACACACACGGCCAGAACACACACAUGGCCUGAUGGAGCAGCCUCGUGUGUGCAUCUUGAAAGACUGGGAACAGGGACCCCAGCUGCUGUGGACACGCUGUGACUGUGUGGCUGGCAGUGUGUUUGCCAGUGUUUGCCAGUCCCAGCUUUAUGGGGCAUGGUGGCUGGAAAAGGCUCCAAUAAAAUGAUUCUCUGGGCACAAAUGAUGUCACUUUUUGCCCUUUGUGUGUACAAAUGAUGCCAGUGUUGUGGUUCCACGCUAUUGCUACAGGAGGACUGUCCUCUGAUUUACGGCCCUGGCGAAUGGCUGUGUGCUCUGAUCUCUUGAUCUGCAGGAAUCAUCUUGAGAUCUCUGGAAUCACCUCCAAGUCUUCAAACCUGCUGUGCUUAUUAAGAAGCCAGGCCCGUUUAAAACUGGCUCAGUAUGGAAGACACGGUGCUUCUCUUUCUUCUACAGUAUCUACCAUUUCGGAUCAAAGAUAUUUUUCACUACACAGCACAAUAAUAAUCCUGUCCUGUCAGUCUUUUUGCAAUCCUGGCUUAGUUCACCGAUUUUAAAGGGAACUGGGAUUCCAGGAGCUCAGUGUUGACCAACGGGUCCCAUGUUGCGAAGGAUUGUGUCCCCAGAGGACUUUGGCCAAGAUGUGACCGCAAGUGUGGCUGCAGUCAGCUUCUUUGUGCGUGCUGGGGAGUGAAAUUCGCACGUCACAGUCACUUUUCCCUCAUAUUGAUAGUGGUGUUUUAAAGUCCAGUGGCAUUUCUUCAUUUAAUGUCAUUGUGAAAACAAGCUUCCCUUUCUUUUCUAUGUCUGUUCCAGUGAUGGUCUGAGGGCCAGCCCAGCAAGUGUCCCAAAGGCCCCAUAUGCUCAGCCCGUCCUGCCCCGCUUCCUCCUGCAGUGCCUUCCUUUCUUGGCCUUCAUUUCUGCCCCUCGGCCCUGCCUUCUUCCUCUUGCUCCCCGCUUAUUGCCAAGCAGAAUCCUCUUACUUGAUGGGACCUUGGGCGUGCCCUACUCUUGAGGUUAGCUGCGUUUUAGAGGAGUGACUCCUGAAUAUCAUAAGCUUUCAAAAUGUAAGGAAAUUAUCUCCCAGUGCUUGAAUGGAGCCAAGGUUUUCUCCCUUGACUGGUUGGGCAGACAGGUCUACUCUGCUGACUCGCAUAACCAGGCAAGGUGAUCUGCCUGGUUCUAAGCAGCAUCCCCUCCUCGGAGUGUGUCUGUCUGCAUGUUUGGCUGGUGUGCAGAUGCCUUCUCAGGUAGGUCUGGGGUGAUGCGAGCUCCUAUUACUCAAGGAUAUUGAUUAUGUAUCUUGCUGCAAGUGGAGACGGACGUGGGCUCUUGGUGCCAUCUCACUGCCACCUUCCCUUAGCCCCAGAGCUAUAAUGACUAGCUAGCCAAUGAAAACAAACAAAUA